GAUGAACGCUGGCGGCGUGCCUAACACAUGCAAGUCGAGCGACCAGACGAGGAGCUUGCUCCCCUGACGUUAGCGGCGGACGGGUGAGUAACACGUGGAUAAGCUACCUCUAAUACUGGGAUAACUUCGGGAAACCGGAGCCAAUACUGGAUAAUAUAUCGAACCGCAUGGUUCAAUAGUGAAUGACGGUUUUGCCGUUACUAAUAGAUGGAUCCGUGCCACAUUAGCUAGUUGGUAAGGUAACGGCUUACCAAGGCAACGAUGCGUAGCCGACCUGAGAGGGUGAUCGGCCACACUGGAACUGAGACACGGUCCAGACUCCUACGGGAGGCAGCAGUAGGGAAUCUUGCACAAUGGGCGAAAGCCUGACGCAGCCACACCGCGUGAGUGAUGAAGGCCUUCGGAUCGUAAAGCUCUGUUGUUAGGGAAGAAAAACUGUAGGAGUAAAUAUGCACGUCUUGACGGUACCUAAACAAUAAGCACCGGCUAACUACGUG
rnacentral:rRNA from 1 species